AUUCCACGGAUACUAUCUUCCCCGGGGGCAUUUGAAUUGAUUGACCGCACAACUUUUUGCUACCAUCAGAAAGUUCGAAAACAAUUGUGACUUUAUGAUGCUACCUGUUAGUGCUAGAGAAACCAAUAGCCAUAUCCUUUUGCCUGUUGAAUUCGGUUCCCAAUCCGGGGACAAUCGAGUAUCAGCACUUCCAUCGGAUAUGACAAAUUAAUUCCCCAGAAACUAACACGGAACAACCAUUCUUAAGCGAGAAAGUCGCAUAAUUUUUUGCUACCAUUGGUCACGAUACAAACCUCUAGUUGAUUAGUGCUACAAAUUGUGCAAGAACAAACCAAGACAUUCCUUUGCCUAUUGAUCUGUCCGCGAAUUAUAUGACGAUUCAAUACUUCCAUCGAAUGGUCACAGCUGUUCCUGCUGUUAGUUUCAGGGGGAAAUUGGAUUGGUUGUGCUGAAGAUAUUGUCGAUUUUGUUCAAUAACACUAAUGGUUAAUACUUAAUAAGGUUUCUUCAAGUCUCUAUUUUGACCGAAACAGUCUAUAACGUUACUUUACUCCUUAUUUUUCAUUGUAGUGAAUCAUAAAGAAGAAUACUAGAGGAUUUAAGAAAUACUUCAGAUUAUUACGUGACAUUCCACAGAUUCUUAAGGUUUAUCGCAGAUUCCUACAGGAACUAGACCCCUUACAGAAAUCUUGGACGAAUUUCAGCAAAAUCGAUUGAAGAAUCACUGGAUGAACUCUACUUCUAAGAAAUUAUGAAAGAAUAUUUUUCCAGAGAUUCAUCAUUUAAAAUAUUCAGUCGGUAUAACCCUGGCAUUGGUUUUUACUGAGUUUUUAAGGCAAUCGCUUAGGGAUUUCUGCUCCAAUUUACGGCCAAUUCGUAUAGACAUUUUCAUAUGGAUUCCUUCAAGAGUUCAUCCACGGUCACUCUUAAGAAUUGCUCAAAAAAAAAAGUAUUCGAGCACCUUUUUUAGAGUUUUUCCGGGAAUUCGUCAAUUAAUUCGUAAAUAAAGUAGUUCCUGCAGCAUUUCAUCCCGAGUGUAGUACACGACACUGAAGACGGCCUUACAGUUUGAGGUCGAAAUACGCGUAUCUGUCAAAGGAUACAAACUCUAGAUGAAUUAAAAUGGUUAUAGUACUAAAUUCGGGGUUUCAUUACUUAUAGGCAUUCCACUAAACAGCUUGAACAUUUAUUAACAAAAUGUUCAAGUUAUCAGCUUGCUUUCUCCAAUAAAGUUUGUAGGUUUCAACUUAAAAUUUACAACUUUUUGGAGAAAUGUGAAACAAAUGUGCCAUGUUUAAAACAAAUGCCCGAAAACUAACACGGAACAACAAUUCUAAAGAGAGAAAGUCGCAUAAUUUUUGCUUACCAUUGGUCAACGAACCCGCUAGUUGAUUAGUGCUACAAAUUGUGCAAGGAACAAACCGAGACAUUCCUUUGCCUAUUGAUCUGUCCGCGAAAUACAUGACGAUUCAAUACUUCCAUCGAAUGUCAACAGUUGUUCUGGU